GAUGAACGCUGGCGGCGUGCCUAAUACAUGCAAGUCGAGCGAAUGGAUUAAGAGCUUGCUCUUAUGAAGUUAGCGGCGGACGGGUGAGUAACACGUGGGUAACCUGCCCACAAGACUGGGAUAACUCCGGGAAACCGGGGCUAAUACCGGAUAACAUUUUGAACCGCAUGGUUCGAAAUUGAAAGGCGGCUUCGGCUGUCACUUAUGGAUGGACCCGCGUCGCAUUAGCUAGUUGGUGAGGUAACGGCUCACCAAGGCAACGAUGCGUAACCGACCUGAGAGGGUGAUCGGCCACACUGGGACUGAGGCACGGCCCAGACUCCUACGGGAGGCAGCAGUAGGGAAGCUUCCGCAAUGGACGAAAGUCUGACGGAGUAACGCCGCGAGAGUGAUGAAGGCUUUCGGGUCGUAAAACUCUGUUGUUAGGGAAGAACAAGUGCUAGUUGAAUAAGCUGGCACCUUGACGGUACCUAACCAGAAAGCCACGGCUAACUACGUGCCAGCCGCCGCAGUAA
rnacentral:rRNA from 1 species